GUGCAUGCUUAGGCACACAUACUAAAGUUAGAAUGAUACAGAGAAGAUUAACAUGGCCCUUGUGCAAGGAAGAGAGACCAUCAAAUUGCAAUUAUAAGAAAUGAA